rnacentral:rRNA from 1 species
AAAAUGACUUCGGCAAUGGAUAUCUCGGCUCUCACAUCGAUGAAGUACGCAACGAAAUGCAAUACUUGGUGUGAAUUGCAGAAUCCCGCGAAUCAUUGAGUCAUUGAACGCAAGUAGUGCCCGAAGCCUUUUGGCCAAGGGCACAUCUGCCUAGGUGUCACGC